UGGGGAAUAUUGGACAAUGGGCGCAAGCCUGAUCCAGCCAUGCCGCGUGAGUGACGAAGGCCUUAGGGUUGUAAAGCUCUUUUUGGCGGGGAAGAUAAUGACGGUACCCGCAGAAUAAGCUCCGGCUAACUUCGUGCCAGCAGCCGCGGUAAUACGAAGGGAGCUAGCGUUGUUCGGAAUCACUGGGCGUAAAGCGCACGUAGGUGGGCAGUUAAGUCAGGGGUGAAAGCCCGAGGCUCAACCUCGGAAUUGCCUCUGAUACUGGCUGUCUAGAGUUCGAGAGAGGUGAGUGGAAUUCCUAGUGUAGAGGUGAAAUUCGUAGAUAUUAGGAAGAACACCGGUGGCGAAGGCGGCUGACUGGACAAGUAUUGACGCUGAGGUACGAAAGCGUGGGGAGCAAACAGGAUUAGAUACCCCUGUAGUCCCUGAGCGGGCUGGCAAGGCGCAU
rnacentral:rRNA from 1 species